rnacentral:rRNA from 1 species
AAUCCAGAGAUGGAUUUGUGCCUUCGGGAACUGUGAGACAGGUGCUGCAUGGCUGUCGUCAGCUCGUGUUGUGAAAUGUUGGGUUAAGUCCCGCAACGAGCGCAACCCUUAUCCUUUGUUGCCAGCGAUUCGGUCGGGAACUCAAAGGAGACUGCCAGUGAUAAACUGGAGGAAGGUGGGGAUGACGUCAAGUCAUCAUGGCCCUUACGACCAGGGCUACACACGUGCUACAAUGGCGCAUACAAAGAGAAGCGACCUCGCGAGAGCAAGCGGACCUCAUAAAGUGCGUCGUAGUCCGGAUUGGAGUCUGCAACUCGACUCCAUGAAGUCGGAAUCGCUAGUAAUCGUGGAUCAGAAUGCCACGGUGAAUACGUUCCCGGGCCUUGUACACACCGCCCGUCACACCAUGGGAGUGGGUUGCAAAAGAAGUAGGUAGCUUAACCUUCGGGAGGGCGCUUACCACUUUGUGAUUCAUGACUGGGGUGAAGUCGUAACAAGGUAACCGUAGGGGAACCUGCGGUUGGAUCACCUCCUUACCUUAAAGAA